UAUACAGCGAAACUGCGAAUGGCUCAUUAUAUAAGUUAUCGUUUAUUUGAUAGUGCCUUACUACUUGGAUAACCGUGGUAAUUCUAGAACUAAUACAUGCUAAAAACCCCGACUUCGGAAGGGGUGUAUUUAUUAGAUACAAAACCAAUGCCCUUCGGGGCUCUUUGGUGAUUCAUGAUAACUAUACGAAUCGCACGGCCUUGCGCCGGCGAUGGUUCAUUCAAAUUUCUUCCCUAUCAACUUUCGAUGUUUGGGUAUUGGCCAAACAUGGUUGCAACGGGUAACGGAGGGUUAGGGCUCGACCCCGGAGAAGGAGCCUGAGAAACGGCUACUACAUCCAAGGAAGGCAGCAGGCGCGCAAAUUACCCAAUCCCGACUCGGGGAGGUAGUGACAAUAAAUACUGAUACAGGGCCCUUUCGGGCCUUGUAAUUGGAAUGAGUACAAUUUAAAUCCCUUAACGAGGAACAAUUGGAGGGCAAGUCUGGUGCCAGCAGCCGCGGUAAUUCCAGCUCCAAUAGCGUAUAU
rnacentral:rRNA from 1 species